CCUACGGGGGGCAGCAGUGGGGGAUAUUGCACAAUGGGGGGAACCCUGAUGCAGCGACGCCGCGUGGGCGAUGGAGUACUUCGGUAUGUAAAGCCCUAUCAGCAGGGAAGAAAAUGACGGUACCUGACUAAGAAGCCCCGGCUAAAUACGUGCCAGCAGCCGCGGUAAUACGUAUGGGGCAAGCGUUAUCCGGAUUUACUGGGUGUAAAGGGAGCGCAGGCGGCGCGGUAAGUCUGAUGUGAAAGCCCGGGGCUCAACCCCGGGACUGCAUUGGAAACUGUCGUGCUGGAGUGUCGGAGGGGCAA
rnacentral:rRNA from 1 species